rnacentral:rRNA from 1 species
AAAACUCAAAUGAAUUGACGGGGGCCCGCACAAGCGGUGGAGCAUGUGGUUUAAUUCGAUGCAACGCGAAGAACCUUACCUGGUCUUGACAUAGUGAGAAUCCUGCAGAGAUGCGGGAGUGCCUUCGGGAAUUCACAUACAGGUGCUGCAUGGCUGUCGUCAGCUCGUGUCGUGAGAUGUUGGGUUAAGUCCCGCAACGAGCGCAACCCUUUUCCUUAUUUGCCAGCGGGUUAAGCCGGGAACUUUAAGGAUACUGCCAGUGACAAACUGGAGGAAGGCGGGGACGACGUCAAGUCA